AGUUUUAUGAGAAUAUAUAAAAUGAAUUCUGCCCAAUGAUUAGUUUAAUGGCCGCAGUACUUUAACUGUGCUAAGGUAGCAUAAUAAUUUGGCUUUUAAUUAAGGUCUGGUAUGAAAGGAUUUUAUGGGUAAUAACUGUCUUUAUUUAACUUUUAAAAAUUUACUUAAAAGGUGAAAAUUCCUUUAAUAUUAAAAUAGACGAGAAGACCCUAGGAGUUUUCAUUUUGUUGGGGCGACAUUUUAGUAAAUAACCUAAGAAAAAAAUUUGACGGAUAUAUCAAUUAUAAAUAAACUACCCUAGGGAUAACAGCAUAAUAAUAUUUUUGUUUGUGACCUCGAUGUUGGACUAGG
rnacentral:rRNA from 1 species